rnacentral:hammerhead_ribozyme from 1 species
AUCCAUCUGAUGAGUCCUAAAUAGGACGAAGUGUCAUGCAU